rnacentral:rRNA from 1 species
GAUGAACGCUAGCUACAGGCUUAACACAUGCAAGUCGAGGGGCAGCAGGGAUUUAGCUUGCUAAAUCCGCUGGCGACCGGCGCACGGGUGCGUAACGCGUAUCCAACUUUCCCGUUACUCAGGGAUAGCCUUCCGAAAGGGAGAUUAAUACCUGAUGGUGUUUGAAAUUCGCAUGUUCUUCAAACUAAAGAUUUAUCGGUAACGGAUAGGGAUGCGUGACAUUAGAUAGUAGGCGGGGUAACGGCCCACCUAGUCUACGAUGUCUAGGGGUUCUGAGAGGAAGGUCCCCCACACUGGAACUGAGACACGGUCCAGACUCCUACGGGAGGCAGCAGUGAGGAAUAUUGGUCAAUGGUCGGAAGACUGAACCAGCCAAGUAGCGUGAAGGAUGAGGGUUCUAUGGAUUGUAAACUUCUUUUAUACGGGAAUAAAACAUCCCACGUGUGGGAUCUUGUAUGUACCGUAUGAAUAAGCAUCGGCUAACUCCGUGCCAGCCGCCGCGGUAACAC